UAGGAUAGGUGGGAGGCUUUGAAGUGUGGACGCCAGUCUGCAUGGAGCCGACCUUGAAAUACCACCCUUUAAUGUUUGAUGUUCUAACGUUGACCCGUGAUCCGGGUUGCGGACAGUGUCUGGUGGGUAGUUUGACUGGGGCGGUCUCCUCCUAAAGAGUAACGGAGGAGCACGAAGGUUGGCUAAUCCUGGUCGGACAUCAGGAGGUUAGUGCAAUGGCAUAAGCCAGCUUGACUGCGAGCGUGACGGCGCGAGCAGGUGCGAAAGCAGGUCAUAGUGAUCCGGUGGUUCUGAAUGGAAGGGCCAUCGCUCAACGGAUAAAAGGUACUCCGGGGAUAACAGGCUGAUACCGCCCAAGAGUUCAUAUCGACGGCGGUGUUUGGCACCUCGAUGUCGGCUCAUCACAUCCUGGGGCUGAAGUAGGUCCCAAGGGUAUGGCUGUUCGCCAUUUAAAGUGGUACGCGAGCUGGGUUUAGAACGUCGUGAGACAGUUCGGUCCCUAUCUGCCGUGGGCGCUGGAGAACUGAGGGGGGCUGCUCCUAGUACGAGAGGACCGGAGUGGACGCAUCACUGGUGUUCGGGUUGUCAUGCCAAUGGCACUGCCCGGUAGCUAAAUGCGGAAGAGAUAAGUGCUGAAAGCAUCUAAGCACGAAACUUGCCCCGAGAUGAGUUCUCCCUGACUCCUUGAGAGUCCUGAAGGAACGUUGAAGACGACGACGUUGAUAGGCCGGGUGUGUAAGCGCAGCGAUGCGUUGAGCUAACCGGUACUAAUGAACCGU
rnacentral:rRNA from 1 species